UCGAGAAUUUUUCUCAAUGGGGGAAACCCUGAAGGAGCGACGCCGCGUGGAGGAUGAAGGUCUUCGGAUUGUAAACUCCUGUCAUUAGGGAACAAGGUGCGUCUAUUAACUGUGGGCGUAUUGAUAGUACCUGAAGAGGAAGAGACGGCUAACUCUGUGCCAGCAGCCGCGGUAAUACAGAGGUCUCAAGCGUUGUUCGGAUUCAUUGGGCGUAAAGGGUGCGUAGGCGGCGAGGCAAGUCAGGUGUGAAAUCUCGGGGCUCAACUCCGAAACUGCACUUGAUACUGCCUUGCUAGAGUACUGGAGAGGAGAUUGGAAUUUACGGUGUAGCAGUGAAAUGCGUAGAUAUCGUAAGGAAGACCAGUGGCGAAGGCGAAUCUCUGGACAGUUACUGACGCUGAGGCACGAAGGCCAGGGGAGCAAACG
rnacentral:rRNA from 1 species